UUACUCAGCAGUAAGUCAGGUUCCUGAGGGCAUGCCAUUCUUGUCUGUAAUGUUGUCUUGCUUAAAGUUCUAUAAUUUUGUUGCAGGGGUUGCACUGGGAAAAGUCGGCUAUUACAACAGCUUCGUCAUUACCGUAAAGAAGCAUCUCAGCCUCUUGCUAAAGCUUCAAAGCAGGUCAAAAGAGAUGGAGUAAGGCAGAAGUUUAAGAGUCUAGAAGGAAAAAACACCCUGAAAAUCAAGAGAAGGCAAUGUCUAAAAGUGAGAUGGGAAGCAGACAAGGUGAUUUCCAGGGUGCCAGUGAGAUCUGAACCAGAGAAAGGAAAUCUUCUUUUUCCAGGCCAUGUGAACCAUGGGACUGACCAUUCAAGAGAAAUCCAGAAAGAGACAGAGGAAGCUUCACAUUCAGAAAAUGCUCCAGAGCUCCCUCUCAAUAAAGCAACAAGGGCAGAAGAAAGCCAGAGAGAGCUGUCCCAAAAAGAAAAGCAGAUGAAAGAGAAACAUAGGAGGCAGAAACUACAGGAGCAGUUGGAGAGAUUGCAGCCUCAGCACUCAGUUACUGGAAAGCAGCCCAUGGCAGAGAAAACACCUCUUUUGUUUCACAUGGAAGCUUCUUCUUUGCCACAUAUUAACACAUUGCCUAGUCAUGACAGCAUGAAACAUGAGAUGCUUCUGAUGACAGUUUGGCUAUCCAGUUGUGGACAGGUAGCUGCUGCUUUUGGUCAGCAUGAUGGACAUUUCCCAGAGACUGUAUUGACAGCAGCCAACAUCUAUCAAGCCCUUGUUACUUGGCUUCUCUCCUUGGUACCUUCCUUGAAAGUGAAUGGUGGGAUCAAAGCUCCAUUCCAGGUGGUGGGGCUGCAGCAGAUCUGGCAAGAGGAUGGAUUAGCACUAUAUGCUUGCCUAAUUCCAGCUGACAGAUCUCCACCCCAGAACUGCAUCAAGAUCCAGAAGCACAAAGCAAAGGAAGACCUUGGAGGAUCCAUUUUUUACCAACAGAUUUCCACUUUUCUAUCCCAUACAUGGCUUCCAGAUGUUAUCUGGUGGGAAGCAGAACUGACCAAUUGCCUCCAGAACCAGCUAUAUUCACUCUGUCCUGAAAUUCCUACUGUUCGACUCAGC
rnacentral:lncRNA from 1 species